CGCCCCUCUUGCGCUGGAGCUGCCGCAGCGCCCCCUGCCGGCGGAGCUGGCGCAGACCGAGGGACCCACCGCGCAGUGCUCAGAACCUGGGCUUUGGUUUUGACUGUUUACCCUUGAGCUGAAAUGCGGCAGUCAAGCUCCAUGUCUAUUGGUAGCGAGUGAUUCCUUGUUAAAGACAGGAGAAAGGAUUUCUCUAUGAUAAAUACAGGACUUACUGAAAAUUGAACUAGUCAAAGCCGGGUGUGGCAGUGCGCACCUGCAAUCCCACCACUCCAGGAGGCUGAGGCAGGAGGACCACAAGCGUGAAGCCCGGCUUUCAUUGGGAAACUUCGCGACUUACUGAGACCCGCUCUCGGAUUUCUUUAAAAAGGCAAAAGGGUGGGGGAUGUAGCUCAGUGCAAAGGGUCUGGGUUCAAACCCGCUACCAAAGCAAGAGACUUCAUCUUCCCAGGAAGAGGGAGACAAACUUCAUCUUGCAUCUCUGCCAAGUGUUAGGUCAUCUCGGUGCUCAGCGAGGCUGUGGCGCCGGAGUCGGGUUGCUGGGUCUCCCUGGAGAAUCUUCCGGGCCCGGGUCGGCGCAGGCUAACUGGGAAGCCAGCCCCGCGGCCCCGAGGCCACCACCACCCUGCUGUGGACACGGGACUGUUCAGCUCAGCCGGAGUGGGAUCUCGCAGGAGCAUUCGGGAGCCAUGGGCGGGCUAACUGGAAGUACAGUGGACCCUUGACUUAGGGACGUGAUCAGUUCCGGAGGGCUGGUUGUAACUCAAGUUGGUGGCUAGGGUCAGUAGUAUCAAGCUCGGCAUGAAUUACCAAGCCCUGAAAGUGAGACUAUAAUGGAAACUGCAAUUGAAGCACGCAGCGACAGCACUGCGGAUGGAAAGCUAUGAUACAGCCAUGGUCACCCCUCAUUCCCAGGACAGUGUGGCACAGUGGCUGAUGCUGGUGCCGAAGUCAGAGGAUCAGAGCUUCAGGCUGGGACAUAUCUGGAUCCUGCUGCAGCAAAUAUUCACAGUAUUUCUACAGACAGCCAGGACAGAGCUUUGAACAGGCGGUUCACCGAAUCCAGCAGUGUGCUGGUCCUGGCUUACCAACCAGCUGCUUGGAAAAGAGCAGAAGUCCUCAGUUACAGUUUUGGAGAGUUCAUGGUGGAAGGGCAAGACCCGUCUCUGGCGCUUCAGCAUGGGCGGAAGCAGAGGCCUUCGUUCUCUUAUCCCACUCCAGCGAGACUUCCCCCCGGACCUCAUCUGAGUCCAUCCUGCCUCGGUCAUCUGGGCUUCAGAACCUGGUGAGGAGAACAUGCAGGAGGCACCACCAAGUGGCAGAGGCAGGCGGCUUGCAAGACACACGGCUUUCAUCCUGAGAACAACGGAACUACUGAAGGAACUUAGCGAAGAAGGGAUGGGCAGGGGUGACAGUGGGACUUAUCCAUGUGGCUUUUGGCUUAGAGACGCAGGACAGGUGGCAGCUCUGUCCUGAAAUGGGAGCAGGAGACGCAGACUAAGCUGCAAUUGGGAGUAGGCACUGAGGGGAGGGCCGAGGCUCAGGGGGUUUGGAUUCAACUCCUCAGUGUAAAGUUGACAACCGGUGAGGUUGUACAGGAGACAGGGACAGAGGAGCUCAGACUGUGAAAGGACAGGCAGAGAAAAGCCCUGGCCCGCCCCCCAAAAUGGUCAGAGAGGUAGCUGGAAAAUCAGAAAUAGACGACAUAUUAAAACUUGUAGCAGGCUGGGGAUGUAGCCUGGUGGUAAAGCAUGCAUGAAGCCCUGGAUUACACACACACACACACACACACACACACACACACACAUAACUUGCUCACUGCUCCCACACAUGCUCAUUGCUUGGGUCCUGUUAUUAGAAAUAAGUUUACUUAUGAC
rnacentral:lncRNA from 1 species